UGAUGUCUACUUUUAAUUGUUUCAGGCAAAUGAGACAACCACAGAGGCCUAAUUGAAUAAAUGGGGGAUGCACAGAGGCUGUGGGCACCUCCCGUCCUGGAUCUUGGGAGAAUGAAGUUCCCUGGCCAGUUGUGAUCAGGGAGACAGAGGACCGGGAAAGACUGCAUGGGAAGAAGGAAGAAUCCACAGAUGAUAAGCCGGAGGGGAGCGAGUCAUGUAGACAAGCCUUGAGGUGGAAGGAAAAAGAUCCGCUGUGUUUGCUAGGAAGCUUCAACCUCACAAAGAUGGAAAGUGUCGUCCUCAGCGUCUUCACAGCCUGUCUUCUGUGCAGCGUAUCCAGCGCAUUGUUCCCUCAGGUAGACGCAUCUCUCUGCUCCGUGGCCCACGUGUUCUUCUGUCUGCUCCAAGGUUACGCUUCCCAUUCU